rnacentral:rRNA from 1 species
UACGUAGGGUGCAAGCGUUGUCCGGAAUUACUGGGCGUAAAGGGCUCGUAGGUGGCCAACUAAGUCAGACGUGAAAUCCCUCGGCUUAACCGGGGAACUGCGUCUGAUACUGGAUGGCUUGAGUUCGGGAGAGGGAUGCGGAAUUCCAGGUGUAGCGGUGAAAUGCGUAGAUAUCUGGAGGAACACCGGUGGCGAAGGCGGCAUCCUGGACCGGCACUGACACUGAGGAGCGAAAGCCAGGGGAGCAAACGGG